GGUCUCAACCUGCCCUCUGGUCUGGCCAGGCCCAGGCCCCUCCCUGUCCUGGCAGAGCCCCCAGCCUGCCAGCCCUGACCAGAGCCCAGAAUCCACAACUCACCCGGGAGCCCACCCCGCACCCUCCUUAAAGUGCUCCCAGGGCCUGGCCUGCCCCACGGCGUCCAGGAUGAGGCUGGGCUGGGGGCUCCUUCUCCUCCCAGCCCGUCCCUCCCAGAAGCCCAGACCACAGCCCGCACCUGCAACCACACCUCCCACCUGCGGGCCCCAUGUGUCCAGAGCACACCCCAGCCUGCAUCCGCACACACCCUCCUUAUACCCUGGAGCUGUUCUGUUCCACUGUGCAGAGCAGAGACUGGGGCUCAGGAAAGGGAACGUCCCAAGGCCACACAGCCAUGAAGCGGCACAGCCAAGCGUCCGACGGCAGAGCCGGGCUCCCAGCCUCCCCCUGUGCCUACAGACAUGGCUCCUGGACACCCCAGGGCACGUCGCAGGAGAACAGCAAAGAGUCCCGAGGAGAUGGCUGUAGGCGGGUGACAGGCCAGAGGGCCUGCUACAAACAACCGACGAAGGACUGUGGAAACAGAAGCGCGUGAGGGGCUCCUACAAAUGCAAAAGGGAAGACGCAGCCCACAGAGGCCAACGGGAUUGCACAGAAGAGGAGCACGCUGAGCAGCCCACAGGGGAAGCGACGGGAACUCCAGAACAGCCAAGGAAACGCAGGUCAGAGGACCAGGAGACCAAUGCACGGGAGAAGCCACAGGCGCCCCUGCACACUCCCAGUGCUGCGCGUAUCAGAGCACGGGUUUGGAAACCUGUUGGACUGUUUUUAAAAUUGAACGCUCCCAACCCCUGGCCUAGCCCGUCCACCCCUGGAGGUGCAGACGAGGGCACUCGCGGCGGCCCCAUUUCACAUCAGGUCCCUGGGGGCUGGGCAGAUGGACACCAUGCAUCAUGCCGCCCCCUCACAGGGAGGAUCCUGCAGCAGGCAAGGUGAGUGCCCGCAGGCACAGUGCACGGGGCUCCUGCAGGGUGACGGGCGCAGGCACAUCCCAGCAGACACAGGGACACGAGAGUCUGGGGCCAGAACCUUCCGGAGGAGGGGAAUUUGCAGGGCCUCAGAGCAUCCCCUGAUAUUUGUUAAUUACUGAGGCAGUCUCCAAGCUGUCUCUGGCUGCGUCACACCUGGUCCCUGCACCUGAGUCCCUCCCCUCUGCCAGCCGCAUCCUCGCCAAGCUCAAGACCUGCCUCCUCCAGAAAGUCUCACUUGACUGCUUGAGCCAGUUGGCCCUUGAGGGCUGCCAGAUCAGCGGCGGCAUUAGAUCCUCACAGGAGGAGGAGGAAGAACCCCAUUGUGCACUGCGCAUGCAGGGAUCUCGGCUGCUCCUUAUGAGAAUCUAAUGCCUGAUGAUCUGAGGUGAGACGAUUUCAUCCCAAAACCAUCCCACCACACCCACAGCUGUGGGAAAAUUGUCUUCUGCGAAACUGGUCCCUGGUGCUGAAAAGGUUGGGGAGCACUGCACUAAGGCAUCCGACGCCCCGGUCACAGGGAGAUGGGCUCAGGUAGACACCAUCUGAGCACCCAGUGCCACACUGCAGCCUCCCUGCGGGGGGAAGUUCUUGCCCUAGUUGGCCCACGGGGCUCACCUGGCCCUUCUGUCCUAUCCUAGACCAGUAGUUCUUCCUGCCUCAAUCAACCCUUCCUCUGACUCCCUCCUUGGCCUUCCCGACAGCCCACGGACAGAUACCUGCACUCAGGCGUGGCCUGCCACACUGAAACUUCUCCCCCGUCCUGGGUUAGAGGAGAAACCUUCAUCCUCCGACAGAUAUGCAGGAAGGGGCGUGGCACCUGCCCAGGCAGGAGAGGCACCUCUGUCUCAGCGCAGAGGGCAGCCUCCCUGGGGGGGACUGGUGGUCUGGGGGACGUGGGCAUCACGGCUCCAGCUCUGCAGCUUGCCUCCGUAGGGGCCCGGGAAGUGUUGUGUUGGAGGGAUUCAUGGGAGAAUGGCCCCUCACAUGCCUGGCUUCAGACCCAGGAUGAGGGUCCCUCCUCUGCCCAGAACCCCAGCUCCUCUGGCAGAGGCUGAAAUUAGAGACCCCCUCACAUCAGCCUGGGCCGAAAGUUGAAAGCCGGCAGGAUAAGCCCAGACCCCUGAGAAGGAAGGGACGAGGCAGGGACCCCAGACCAGGCAGGACUUUCGGAGAAGCCUGGGAGAGGGGACUGUCCCUGGGGAACAUUCUCAAAGGUGGGGGUGGGAAGCCAUCGUUCACCCCAGAAAUGAGGCACAGAAACCCCCUCCCCACCAAAGACACCGUGCAGCACUGGGGUGAUGACCCCACGCCUCUGCAAACAGCAGGAUCAGCCUCCCCUGGGGAAUGGGGUGCAAAGCCCCCAUCACUGACGUGGGCUGACAGGGAGCCCUCCCCCCAGGGCAGAGCUACACGCACACCUGGGGCGUGCCAGCCCCUGGCUGCCCUUAGCUGCUCCCUCGGACAAGGCAGAAGCACUAGGGCUGCCAGGUGUAGCCCCCGCCGACACACACAGCCAGACAGGUGGAGUCCCCCCAACACACACAGCCAGACAGGUGUAGCCCCCCCCCGACUCACACAGCCAGAUAGGUGUAGCCCCCCUGACACACACAGCCAGACAGGUGUAGCCACCCCCUGACACACACAGCCAGGCAGGUGUAGCCCCCCCAACACACACAGCCAGACAGGCCUCAGGCUCCGAGACUCUGCUGCAGAACACUGGGCCCACCAGCCUCCAGGACCGGGCCGUCCAUCUGUCCAUCCGUCUCCAGGGCCAGUGUUUACGGAGCCACACCCACCGGCCCAUCCCCCGGGCCACAGCCACCAGCCUACAGGACCAGGCCAUCCAUCUGUCCAUCCGUCUCCAGGGCCAGUGUUUACGGACCACGGGAGCCUGGCUUCUCCACACCACCCUCGGGGUCUUCACAGGUGAGGGCUGGACCACCUGAAGUCACCUCCACUUCCAGCCAUGCAGACUGUUCGGUUUAUCCACAGUGAGAUGUCUGGGACCCCCAUGUCCCCAGUCCAUGGGCCCCACCUCCGGGAAACUAUGUAUGGGCCCACAGGCUUCCAGCUCCCAGGGUAGGGACAGGGGCUGUCCCUACACACUCAGUCUGAGGGCCUCUGAAGCUUCAGCCAGCCUUGCCAUCUGCAAACCCAGAGAGGGAGGCCGGCUCUGGGUGGACAGCCGGCCAGGCCCUAGCUCUGACGCCACCGAAACACCCCAGGCCUCAGUUUCCUCGUCUGUACAACAGGGUGUCCUCACCCCAGCCCCCAGGUCACCUCAGCGACGUGCAGACACAGGAAGAAGGUGGACAGAACCACACACUGUUCUCCCCCAUCCUUCCUGUCCCACAGCCCUCACAGGUGACACACCCAGUACUCCAGGGCCCCAGGGAGUUUGUGGGGGGCUCUUGGCACCCCCAUUGUGGGCAUAGGCCAGCGUCCAGUGGGCAAGCCCCUGGUUCCCAGUGAGGAAGCUUCUGGAGACACUGUAGCCUGCAGGAGACCCUCCCUCCCAAGGGCUGGAGUGUGAGGACAGAGCUGGGGGUCCUGCCCAUCCAUCCUCUUCCCAGUCCAGCCUCCAGGUUGGGGGCAGGCAGAGGAGAUGGUUGUGCAGAUAUGACCCCACCCUACUCCUGAGAGGCCUGGCCAGGGGGUCCCAUGACGCACAUCCCCCCAGCUGUGCAUGAGAAGGAGCAGGCCUGGCCAGGGGGUCCCACGACGCACAUCCCCCCAGCUGUGCAUGGGAAGGUGUUUGGGCCUCAUCUCCUCCUGAGGUCACGUCAAGCCUCUUGGCCGGUGCCCUGAGCCCUCUGGGAUCUGGCCCUUGAGAACUUUACAGUUUCGUCAUCCACAGAGGGUCCCCUUCUGCCCCACCGCAGUCCCAAGCAUGGAGAGGCCCACCUUGUGAGCCACAGCGUCUCGCCUCUGCCCAGCCCACGCAUCCUCUGAGCAAACCCUCCCCAGCUGGCUCUGCGCUCCUGAAGCCAGUCUUCUGCCCACCCCCCGGCCCCUCCAGCUGUCCAGUCUGUCAUCUGUCAGUUCACCCAUCCGUGUGCCCGUCCAUCCCCAGACACUGACGGAGCGACCUGCGUGCAGCCCUCCCAGGCAGUGCGUGGCGUUCGUGGACGCAGGGGCGGGGGCCUACUUGGCAGGAGUUUUGACCUGCUCCGUUUCCGACCUGGACCGGUUCACCCCUCCUUAGGCAACUUGGUGGUCCCCUGCUCCUGGGAGGUCACCAUACUGAUGUGCGGACAGCCAGUCAGCCUAACACACUACAGCCCAGAACUCCCAGGCUCGAGCAACCCUCCUGCCUCAGCCUCCGGAGUAGCUGGGACCGCAG
rnacentral:lncRNA from 1 species